rnacentral:pre_miRNA from 1 species
UGUGUAUUACCAUGUAUGUUGUGUGACCUAGUUUAGUAGUAUGAAUAUAUCUGGUGUGUAUUUAUUCGUACUACUAAACUAGGUCACACAACAUAACAUGGUAAUACACA